AGCCGCGGGUAUUCCAGCUCUCAAAAUGCAUAGAAUUAUUGCUGCGGUUAAAAAGCUCGUAGUUGGAUCUGUGCCGACAGACUGGUCCAUCUUCGGAUGCGUACUGGUUAUUGUCGGCUUUCCUGCAGUUUUGCGGCUCAGUGCCUCUCACGGGGUGCAGUGUCCGUUGCUGCAAGUUUACUUUGAACAAAUCAGAGUGCUCUAAACAGGCGUUUCGCUUGAAUGUUCGUGCAUGGAAUAAUAGAAGAGGAUUUCGGUUCUAUUUUAUUGGUUUUAUAGACUGAGAUAAUGGUUAACAGAGACAAACGGGGGCAUUCGUAUUGCUACGUGAGAGGUGAAAUUCUUGGACCGUAGCAAGACGAACUACAGCGAAAGCAUUUGCCAAGAAUGUCUUCAUUAAUCAAGAACGAAAGUCAGAGGUUCGAAGGCGAUCAGAUACCGCCCUAGUU
rnacentral:rRNA from 1 species